rnacentral:hammerhead_ribozyme from 1 species
AUCCGGCUGAAGAUUCCCGAAAAGGACGAAACGCGCGUCCUGGAU